GUCUACAGCCAAACCACCCUGAACGUAACUGAUCUCGUCUGAUCUUGGAAGCUGAGCAGGGUCGGGCAUGGUUAGUACUUAGACAGGAGGAGAUGGGAGAAUAUCCUAAACCAUCUGAU
rfam:Ovis aries breed Texel chromosome 4, whole genome shotgun sequence.